rnacentral:rRNA from 1 species
UACGGGGGGGGCAAGCGUUGUUCGGAAUUACUGGGCGUAAAGGGCUCGUAGGCGGCCAACUAAGUCGGACGUGAAAUCCCUCGGCUUAACCGGGGAACUGCGUCCGAUACUGGAUGGCUCGAGUUUGGGAGAGGGAUGCGGAAUUCCAGGUGUAGCGGUGAAAUGCGCAGAUAUCAGGAGGAAUACCGGUGGCGAAGGCGGCAUCCUGGACCGGCAUUGACGCUGAGGAGCGAAAGCCAGGGGAGCAAACGGG